GUAUGUGUGGCCGGGACUGGCGACUCACGCCUGCUGCUGUUACUGGCAGACGUUACUCAUCUCCCAUUGCUGAAGAUGGCUUCUGUUUGAUAACCACUGUUUCCCCACAUGUCUGGAGAUCCUCCAGGAGAUUUCUCUUCUUCCAACUCUGGUAGAUUGUGGCUCUCCCAGCACAGCUCAAAGCUAUGGAAAUUUUUAAGAAGAGAAAGCUUCCUGCUCUCACUCAGCCUUGAGAGAGAGUUUGCAGCUUCACUGAGGAAGACACAGCAGGCAGUGAGUCUCCCUCAUAGCUGCUGACUGAGACUCUUGUGUGGACCCACAAGUCUGUGAGCUGCUGUCGGAUAUCCUGCAAGUCUGGGUCCUCAGGGUACAAGGUUUAUUUCAGAAGAUCUCCACCAGCACACUCGGAACUUCAAGGCUCUCAGGGCUCACCGUGUCAAGUUACAUGUUUGGGCUCUCUAAGAAUUCUCCUAAAUCUCCCAAAGCUAUCACAGCAUACAUCUCUCUCAACGAAGUAGAUGGCUUUAUGCAGCCCAUACUCUCGAGAGAGGCACAUCUUGUUCAGUUUGCCCAGCUAUGUUAAUUGUCUCAACAUUGUUAUUUUAAAAUUAGUUUUAAAAACAACCACAUUUCAACCGUGAAAUAUGUUAAAAUACUUUAAGACAGCCACCUAAAAUCAAUGUUAACAUUUUAAAUAUCCUCUUGAAACUUCUGGUGGCUCUUCUUCCUGGCUUGUCACACGUGGCUCUCCCUUUCCAGUCUGCUUUAGUUGCUGAUGUCAGCAGCUUGGAGUGAGGUCUUUGAUCAAUAGAUUAUUCCUUUAUAGAAAAGACUGUCAUCUUUUUCCUAAAUCCCAAGAUGGGCAUCUCCCCUUUCACCCGAGCAUGUAUGCACAGGCAGUUGUUCUCUCAUCAGAUCUCCUAAUUUCAUAAAAGUCUGAGUGACUCCACAGCACCGCAGGGGAGCAGGUGGCCCUCAGCUGCACCUGGGUCAGGAUAUGGGGUCCAGCUCCUCGCAUCCCAGUGACUGCAGAGUGUUCCAGGUAGUCUGGCUCAGGACAGUGAAGCUGAAACUGCUGUCUGGUGUUGUGCCUGCUCCGAGGUCCAUGUGGCCGUUAGCUGAAUGUUCAUCCUGCCCAUCCCUGCCUGUGUUCCUGGAGUAGUCAGAGUCUGCUGGUUGUUUUUGGUUUUAUUUUGGUUUUGGUUUUGGUUUUGACCUGUCACCCCAUGCAAAGUGACCCUGCAGAGGUGAGAGGGAUGAGGCUCAAGUGGCCCAAGUCUUUGGGGGAACUUCCCCAUCUAUUGAUGUCCCUCUCAGCAGUGCUGGUUUACAUUAGCUGUGCGCUGUGGAAUGUGCUGGAAGAGAAGGUGGACACCCUGCACGACUCAGCUGGAUCUGCAGAGGGGUAACUUCCCUGACAAGUGGGGGUGCUCCAUUUGGAGCCCAUAGGGGAUCCAGAACUCCCCCAGACCACUGCAACUGUGUGGAAGCCAAUGCUGAGGUCCCCUGGGUUUCCUGGUGUGAGCCCAGAAUUGACACACCUCGUCUGACUUGCAGUGAUGCCUAGUUUGACUGUAUCUCCAAAUGACAAGCAUGAAAAGAUGGCUAUGUUCGACUCUCCCAUGGUUCCACAGGCUCAGUGAUGAUGGAAUGUCUCUCUGGUUUAGGGUCUGGGGUGAGACUUAAGUGAGAGUGGAGACUCUGGGAUUUAUACUCUCCAAUGUAUAUAAAUCCUGCCCUCUUCUGUCUGUACCUGUGUAAGCAUGCUGCAAGGUGCAGUGAGGGCCCAUGGCUUCCUCAUGAGACUCUCAAGCAGAGGGGAAGCCCCACCAGCCAGCAGAGCAAACAGGUGCUCUUGGAUCCACUUGUCAGAGUAGGGCGCCGACAGAAGGUCAGGAGUUGGUCUCCAGGAAAGAAAGCAGGGAUCUUGAGCAGUUUAACCCGCUGAUGGAUUUGUGGGUGGCAGGUAUGUGGAAGUGGUUCAAAGGCCAGAGCCCUGGUGGUGACUCCAGAGAUAACCUUCCCACCAAAGUGACCAGGUCCUCUUUGCAAACAUUUGAAGGUACAGAGAACAUUCUGUUGCUCCAGUAGUGAAUUUGAAGAAUUUAAAGAAAUUCCUUUGUGUGACUUAAAAGUUUGGGGUUGGAGAGGGUGGCAUUGUGUUGAUUUAAAGUUCAGAGAGCCUAUAUUCGGAGGAUGGAGUCAUUUCUCUACAAGGAGAACAAACAUUAGCUGAGAAGACGAAUAGGAAAAAUAAGUGAACCCUCAAAAAACUCACAGUUGCCAAAGGAGUCUUUCCUGCUCCAGCCAGGUCAGCUACUGCGAGAGAUGGCUUGUGCUGUCUCUUUGGAACCCACAGGCUUGUUGACGCUUUCUGUGGAGUACAUGCAGCAGGGAGGAUGAUGCUGGCCACUUUCUUGCUUCCUGAUAACUGCAAUGCUAUGGAGAAGGUUUGGGUCACUUGGGAGGCCCGAGCCUCAUGCUCUGUAGUCAUGUAUCUAGGAUUCACCCAGAGGAGUCACAGUAGCAAUUUUGUUGGUGCCUGAUGCUUGCCUUCUUGGAAACCUCUGUACAAAACAUGGAUGAGACACUCUCAAGGUCAACAUCAAGUUCCCUGCAGUGGGAUGAGAUGGAGACUUGAUGCCGCUAGUUGAGUUUUGGUGCUGUGGAAUUGGAGGUUAACUUUCGUGUGGAUGCCUGGUGGCUGUCAGGAUGGGCGCCAUGAAGGCACCAGCCUGGUAAAGAUGAACUGGGGCUACUAUGGAUGGAAGAACCUUGUACAUCAACAACCCUCAGAUGGCUGCUUGUAUUUCUUGAGGGACACUAUUAAACAAGGGGCCCAACACUGAUUUCUGCAUCUGGCAGGUGGACACAAGGAGACAACAAUCACUCCAUGGGGGAUGGUGGUAACUAAGGCCCUUGCUAUCAGGCCAAAAUAGUGCAGUCCCUACAAAUCACCCAAAUGAGGUAGAGUGUAAUGGCCUCUGGCACACUGUACAGAGUUACUACUUCACUUGAGCUUUUUCAUCUGUGGCAGAACUCAACAGAGAAACAGCAUGUGGUUGAUAAACACACCUUGGUCAGGGCACCUUCUCUCACACCCUAUGGGGCCCACUCCACAGGGCAAGCUUCAUACUACACAUAUCAUGUGGCCUACUACAGUUACCCGCUACAGAGCAUGGGCUUCAGUGAAGGACAUGGUGUCCUGGUGGAAG
ensembl:lncRNA